UUAUACGGCGAAACUGCGAAUGGCUCAUUAAAUCAGUUAUCGUUUAUUUGAUAGUACCUUACUACUUGGAUAACCGUGGUAAUUCUAGAGCUAAUACAUGCUGAAAACCCCGACUUCGGAAGGGAUGUAUUUAUUAGAUUAAAGACCAACGCCCUUCGGGGCUCCCUGGUGAUUCAUAAUAACUUGUCGAAUCGCACGGCCUUGCGCCGGCGAUGGCUCAUUCAAAUUUCUGCCCUAUCAACUUUCGACGGCUGGAUCUGGGCCAGCCGUGGUGACAACGGGUAACGGAGGGUUAGGGCUCGGCCCCGGAGAAGGAGCCUGAGAAACGGCUACUACAUCCAAGGAAGGCAGCAGGCGCGCAAAUUACCCAAUCCCGACGCGGGGAGGUAGUGACAAUAAAUACUGAUACAGGGCUCUUUUGGGUCUUGUAAUUGGAAUGAGUACAAUUUAAUUCCCUUAACGAGGAACAAUUGGAGGGCAAGUCUGGUGCCAGCAGCCGCGGUAAUUCCAGCUCCAAUAGCGUAUAUUAAAGUUGUUGCAGUUAAAAAGCUCGUAGUUGAACCUUGGGCCUGGCUGGCCGGUCCGCCUCACCGCGUGCACUGGUCCGGCCGGGCCUUUCCCUCUGGGGAGCCGCAUGCCCUUCACUGGGCGUGUCGGGGAACCAGGACUUUUACUUUGAAAAAAUUAGAGUGUUCAAAGCAGGCUUAUGCUCGAAUACAUUAGCAUGGAAUAAUAGAAUAGGACGUGUGGUUCUAUUUUGUUGGUUUCUAGGACCGCCGUAAUGAUUAAUAGGGACAGUCGGGGGCAUCAGUAUUCAAUUGUCAGAGGUGAAA
rnacentral:rRNA from 2 species